GAUGAACGCUGGCGGCGUGCCUAAUACAUGCAAGUCGAGCGAACAGACGAGGAGCUUGCUCCUCUGACGUUAGCGGCGGACGGGUGAGUAACACGUGGAUAACCUACCUAUAAGACUGGGAUAACUUCGGGAAACCGGAGCUAAUACCGGAUAAUAUAUUGAACCGCAUGGUUCAAUAGUGAAAGACGGUUUUGCUGUCACUUAUAGAUGGAUCCGCGCCGCAUUAGCUAGUUGGUAAGGUAACGGCUUACCAAGGCAACGAUGCGUAGCCGACCUGAGAGGGUGAUCGGCCACACUGGAACUGAGACACGGACCAGACUCCUACGGGAGGCAGUAGUAGGGAAUCUUCCGCAAUGGGCGAAAGCCUGACGGAGCAACGCCGCGUGAGUGAUGAAGGUCUUCGGAUCGUAAAACUCUGUUAUUAGGGAAGAACAAAUGUGUAAGUAACUAUGCACGUCUUGACGGUACCUAAUCAGAAAGCCACGGCUAACUACGUG
rnacentral:rRNA from 1 species